AUGCAAGUCGAGCGGGGGAAGGUAGCUUGCUACCGGACCUAGCGGCGGACGGGUGAGUAAUGCUUAGGAAUCUGCCUAUUAGUGGGGGACAACAUCUCGAAAGGGAUGCUAAUACCGCAUACGUCCUACGGGAGAAAGCAGGGGAUCUUCGGACCUUGCGCUAAUAGAUGAGCCUAAGUCGGAUUAGCUAGUUGGUGGGGUAAAGGCCUACCAAGGCGACGAUCUGUAGCGGGUCUGAGAGGAUGAUCCGCCACACUGGGACUGAGACACGGCCCAGACUCCUACGGGAGGCAGCAGUGGGGAAUAUUGGACAAUGGGGGGAACCCUGAUCCAGCCAUGCCGCGUGUGUGAAGAAGGCCUUAUGGUUGUAAAGCACUUUAAGCGAGGAGGAGGCUACUUUAGUUAAUACCUAGAGAUAGUGGACGUUACUCGCAGAAUAAGCACCGGCUAACUCUGUGCCAGCAGCCGCGGUAAUACAGAGGGUGCGAGCGUUAAUCGGAUUUACUGGGCGUAAAGCGUGCGUAGGCGGCUUAUUAAGUCGGAUGUGAAAUCCCCGAGCUUAACUUGGGAAUUGCAUUCGAUACUGGUGAGCUAGAGUAUGGGAGAGGAUGGUAGAAUUCCAGGUGUAGCGGUGAAAUGCGUAGAGAUCUGGAGGAAUACCGAUGGCGAAAGCAGCCAUCUGGCCUAAUACUGACGCUGAGGUACGAAAGCAUGGGGAGCAAACAGGAUUAGAUACC
rnacentral:rRNA from 1 species